UGACGCAGCGACGCCGCGUGAGUGACGAAGGCCUUCGGGUUGUAAAGCUCUGUUGAGGGGGAAGAUAAUGACGGUACCCCUUAAGAAAGCCCCGGCUAACUACGUGCCAGCAGCCGCGGUAAGACGUAGGGGGCGAGCGUUGUCCGGAAUUACUGGGUGUAAAGGGCGUGUAGGCGGCUAAGUAAGUCAGCUGUGAAAUUCCCCGGCUCAACUGGGGGCCUGCAGUUGAAACUACUUAGCUUGAGUGCAGGAGAGGAAGGUGGAAUUCCCAGUGUAGCGGUGAAAUGCGUAGAUAUUGGGAGGAACACCGGUGGCGAAGGCGGCCUUCUGGCCUGUAACUGACGCUGAGGCGCGAAAGCUAGGGGAGCAAACAGGAUUAGAUACCCUGGUAGUCCUAGCUGUAAACGCUGGGUACUAGGUGUAGGGGGUUUAGACGCCCUCUGUGCCGCAGUUAACGCAUUAAGUACCCCGCCUGGGGAGUACGAUCGCAAGGUUGAAACUCAAAUGAAUUGACGG
rnacentral:rRNA from 1 species